rnacentral:misc_RNA from 1 species
CUUCCCUACCAUAUGAUAGAAUUCGUACUGGAUGAUUUUGAAUGGUUGGUUCAUUUUUAGGCACUUCUUCAUAUUUUACUUUUUUCAACAUUACUGUGGUUUGUUUAAAAUUAUGCAUUUGGAUUUUAGCUGUGCUGACAAUUACUUCAAAGAUCAUAAUGGAAACAGUUUGUCUUGUUCCCAUCUGUAGGUUUAACAACCCCUUAUGCUUCAAUUUGUGCACAAAUUUAGUGUUUGUUUUGUUAAAUUCAUAAAACUAAGCAUGGAGCUGGCAAUAAUAUUUGACAAUUUGGUCUAAAAUUUUGAUUUAGUGGUAUGGUGUUUCGGAUUUGUACUGUGCUUUAUUGAUAUAUCAUAUGUACUCAUAAACUGAUCUUCUAUAAUGCUAUAUCUUGUUCAGCAAGGUGAGAGUCAGUCUUAGAUAUGCAGACCUUGUAUCUGUACUUCCAACUCGAGUCAGAGUAUUUGCAUGGCCAAUGAAUCAAUUCAAGAAAAAUGGAGCACUUGGAAGUCACCCAAGCCCUGCUCGCCUAUCUUAUGCUGAGGAUGCCUUAAGAACCAUGAGUUUACCAGAAGGUGCUACUUUUCUUCAAAUCUAUAGCUUCUUAUUUGUCAGGGUUAACUUACCGGUGGAUGAUGUUUGCCUGCGGUCUUUUGUUCUGGAUCUUCUCUUAUUUACCUACUU